rnacentral:rRNA from 1 species
AGAGUUUGAUUCUGGCUCAGAAUGAACGCUGGCGGCGUGCUUAACACAUGCAAGUCGAACGGAAUCCAAGGAGCUUGCUCCGAAAGAUUUAGUGGCGAACGGGUGAGUAUCACGUGAGCAACCUGCCCCGAAGACUGGGAUAACACCGGGAAACCGGUGCUAAUACCGGAUACCUUCCAAUGACCGCAUGGUCGAUGGAAGAAAUGUUUUUCGCUUCGGGAGGGGCUCGCGGUCCAUCAGCUUGUUGGCGGGGUAACGGCCCACCAAGGCAACGACGGAUAGCUGGUCUGAGAGGACGAUCAGCCACACUGGAACUGAGACACGGUCCAGACUCCUACGGGAGGCAGCAGUGGGGAAUCUUGCGCAAUGGACGAAAGUCUGACGCAGCAACGCCGCGUGAGGGACGAAGGCUUUCUGAGUUGUAAACCUCUUUCGACAGGAACGAUUGUGACGGUACCUGUAGAAGAAGCACCGGCCAACUAUGUGCCAGCAGCCGCGGUGAUACAUAGGGUGCGAGCGUUAUUCGGAUUUAUUGGGCGUAAAGAGCUCGUAGGCGGUUCAACAAGUCGGGUGUUAAACCCCCAGGCUCAACCUGGGGCCGCCACCCGAAACUGUUGUGACUAGAGUUUGGUAGGGGAUCACGGAAUUCCUGGUGUAGCGGUGGAAUGCGCAGAUAUCAGGAGGAACACCAGUAGCGAAGGCGGUGAUCUGGGCCAAUACUGACGCUGAGGAGCGAAAGCGUGGGGAGCGAACAGGAUUAGAUACCCUGGUAGUCCACGCCGUAAACGAUGGGCACUAGGUGUGGGAGGUGUCGACUCCUCCCGUGCCGUAGCUAACGCAUUAAGUGCCCCGCCUGGGGAGUACGGCCGCAAGGCUAAAACUCAAAGAAAUUGACGGGGGCCCGCACAAGCAGCGGAGCAUGUGGCUUAAUUCGAUGCAACGCGAAAAACCUUACCUAGAUUUGACAU